AGGCCCUCAGCAUCGGGGAUGGAAGGAUCGCAGUGCUCAUCUACAGGAUCAGAGGCGAAAGAAUCCAAAACGGGACACUGCAUGCUGGAGAUCCAGAGGAUCCAGGAGAAGGCGCAGGGUGAGGACCCGGAAGCUCACCGGAGAGGUACCGGGAGGGAUCUCUGUUGGAAGACUUGAAGAGUCUGAACCGAAACAUUGAAGGAAUUUGGACCGAUGUUCAAAUCGAAAGAUUUCACAGGGAAAGGUGCUUCAAAAAUUAAGUGUGUAACAGUGAAGUAACUGAUAAAAGUGGCAGACUGAACCCCUGGGAGAGCCACAGUGUGAAGAUAAACUCGGGCAGCAGAAAAACCACUGGCUGCAAAGACUGAUAAUGACACAGACAUGGCAAGAACAGCAGCAGGGCAUGUGCGUAUGGCAGCAAAGAUAUAAACUAGAUGACUCCGGGGCCAUGAAAAGAAGCUUUACUCCUAAAAAGGGACUUCUGGAACAGAUGCAAAAGCAGAUCGAUGAGAUUACAUCUCAAGUGAGAGAAGAGAAAAGUCCUCCUUUCCUUUGGAAUAGGGACUCAGAAUAGAACCUCCAUGUUCCAUAUCACCAUGCAGACUGUCACCAUAUGGACAGCAGUGCA